rnacentral:rRNA from 1 species
AUAAUGUGUCCUGCUCAGUGAUUAUUUAAACAGCCGCAGUACUCUGACUGUGCAAAGGUAGCAUAAUAAUUUGGCUUAUAAUUGAAGUCUAGAAUCAAUGGAUUUUUGAGCUUAAACUGUAUCAUAUAAUUAAUAUAUUUAACUUAAUUAUGAAGUGAAAAUACUUCAAAUAAAAUAUUAGACGAGAAGACCCUUGAAAUUUUUAUAAUUUAAUUCAAGUAAAAUUUUUGUUGGGGCAACAUAGUAACAAAUCUUAAAUUACUUAAAAAUAUAUAUAAAGUUAAUAAACAUAUUAAAUAAAUUACUCUAGGGAUAACAGCAUAAUUUAUAAUAGCUUGUGACCUCGAUGUUGGACUAAGUAUCCUUAAUUCAGAA